GGACUUAUAGAUGGCUAAAAUCUGAGUCCA
rnacentral:misc_RNA from 1 species